CAUCAUCAGAUUGUUGAGGAGACUAGAUGACGGAACCCAGUUCGCUAUCUUCAUCGGUUUCCAUUGCACCUUCAGACUCUUCAUCACUGUCUUUGUCCUCGUACGCUACUGUUGGAACAGUCUCUUCUUCAGCCUCCUCCUCGGGGAUCGUAGCAAAGAGGUAAUCUAAGCUAGUCGAAAGUUGAAGAGCUGACCCGAAUGUUGAGAUUCUUGAUUCAAUAAGCUGGUACAAAGGGUUGAGCAUGAUCAAAGAUGAUUCUGGAGAUACGAUGAUGCUUGCAUGUUGACUAAGCAAACUUCUAAGCCAUGGCAGCACGCAGAUCAAUACCGCACCUCUUAACUGAAGCAUGGAUG
rnacentral:misc_RNA from 1 species